GAUGGACGCUAGCGGCAGGCCUAACACAUGCAAGUCGAGGGAGAAGCCCUUCGGGGCAGAAACCGGCGCACGGGUGCGUAACGCGUAUGCAACCUACCUUUCACAGGGGGAUAGCCCGAAGAAAUUUGGAUUAAUACCCCAUAAUAUUAUUGGAUGGCAUCGUUUGAUAAUUAAAAUUACGAUGGUGAAAGAUGGGCAUGCGUCCUAUUAGCUAGUUGGAGUGGUAACGGCACCCCAAGGCUACGAUAGGUAGGGGUCCUGAGAGGGAGAUCCCCCACACUGGUACUGAGACAGGGACCAGACUCCUACGGGAGGCAGCAGUGAGGAAUAUCGGUCAAUGGUCGGAAGACUGAACCAGCCAUGCCGCGUGCAGGAAGAAUGCCUUAUGGGUUGUAAACUGCUUUUAUAUGGGAAGAAUAAGGAGUACGUGUACUUUGANGACGGUNCCA
rnacentral:rRNA from 1 species